ACGGAAGGCAGCAGUGGGGAAUAUUGCACAAUGGGCGAAAGCCUGAUGCAGCGACGCCGCGUGAGCGAAGAAGUAUUUCGGUAUGUAAAGCUCUAUCAGCAGGGAAGAAGAAAUGACGGUACCUGACUAAGAAGCCCCGGCUAACUACGUGCCAGCAGCCGCGGUAAUACGUAGGGGGCAAGCGUUAUCCGGAUUUACUGGGUGUAAAGGGAGCGCAGGCGGCAGGGCAAGUCUGAUGUGAAAACCCGGGGCUUAACUUCGGGACUGCAUUGGAAACUGCUCAGCUUGAGUGUCGGAGAGGUAAGUGGAAUUCCUAGUGUAGCGGUGAAAUGCGUAGAUAUUAGGAGGAACACCAGUGGCGAAGGCGGCUUACUGGACGACAACUGACGCUGAGGCUCGAAAGCGUGGGGAGCAAACAGGAUUAGAUACCCUGGUA
rnacentral:rRNA from 1 species